rnacentral:rRNA from 1 species
UACGUAGGGUGCGAGCGUUAAUCGGAAUUACUGGCGUAAAGCGUGCGCAGGCGGUAAUGCAAGACAGAUGUGAAAUCCCCGGGCUUAACCUGGGAACUGCAUUGUGACUGCAUUGCUGGAGUGCGGCAGAGGGGGAUGGAAUUCCGCGUGUAGCAGUGAAAUGCGUAGAUAUGUGGAGGAAUACCGAUGGCGAAGGCAGCCCCCUGGGAUAACACUGACGCUCAUGCACGAAAGCGUGGGGAGCAAACAGG